UAUAUACUCCCUUCGUCCGAAAAUACUUGUCCGAGGAAUGGAUGUAUCUAGAUGUAUUUUAGUUCUAGAUACGUCCAUUUCUAUCAUUUUUGUGACAAGUAAUUCCGGACGGAGGGAGUACUAU
rnacentral:pre_miRNA from 1 species